AUUGAACGCUGGCGGCAUGCUUUACACAUGCAAGUCGAACGGUAACAGGCCGCAAGGUGCUGACGAGUGGCGAACGGGUGAGUAAUGCAUCGGAACGUGCCCAGUCGUGGGGGAUAACUACUCGAAAGAGUAGCUAAUACCGCGUACGAUCUAUGGAUGAAAGCGGGGGACCGUAAGGCCUCGCGCGAUUGGAGCGGCCGAUGUCAGAUUAGGUAGUUGGUGGGGUAAAGGCUCACCAAGCCAACGAUCUGUAGCUGGUCUGAGAGGACGACCAGCCACACUGGGACUGAGACACGGCCCAGACUCCUACGGGAGGCAGCAGUGGGGAAUUUUGGACAAAGGGCGCAAGCCUGAUCCAGCAAUGCCGCGUGCAGGAAGAAGGCCUUCGGGUUGUAAACUGCUUUUGUACGGAACGAAACGGCUCUGGUUAAUACCCGGGGCUAAUGACGGUACCGUAAGAAUAAGCACCGGCUAACUACGUG
rnacentral:rRNA from 1 species